rnacentral:rRNA from 1 species
AACGAACGCUGGCGGCAUGCCUAACACAUGCAAGUCGAACGAGAUCUUCGGAUCUAGUGGCGCACGGGUGCGUAACGCGUGGGAAUCUGCCCUUUGGUUCGGAAUAACUUCGGGAAACUGAAGCUAAUACCGGAUGAUGACUUCGGUCCAAAGAUUUAUCGCCAAAGGAUGAGCCCGCGUAAGAUUAGCUAGUUGGUGGGGUAAAGGCCUACCAAGGCGACGAUCUUUAGCUGGUCUGAGAGGAUGAUCAGCCACACUGGGACUGAGACACGGCCCAGACUCCUACGGGAGGCAGCAGUGGGGAAUAUUGGACAAUGGGCGAAAGCCUGAUCCAGCAAUGCCGCGUGAGUGAUGAAGGCCUUAGGGUUGUAAAGCUCUUUUACCCGGGAUGAUAAUGACAGUACCGGGAGAAUAAGCUCCGGCUAACUCCGUGCCAGCAGCCGCGGUAA